CCGCUGGAAACAGCCACUCGUGGCGGCGUUGGUACACCGAAUAUCCCUGCACAAACCUCAACGGCACAACGGCAUUAUCAGACGACCGAAGUUCUUCCUGCUCCAAAGGUAACCUAUCGUCAGCUACCUGGCCCGGAGUGGAGCGAACCUGUGCCACUAAUCACCUGGGGGCGCGGUUACGCAGCUGUAUCAACACCAAGCGGCCCGCUCUGGGUACCUGCACGAUACGUUCGACCAUACAAGGAUGGCGUGGCAUCAGGGACUGAGCAACCCCAUCCCUGACUUCAACAUACACUUAUAUGAUGAACAAGGAAAAGUGACAACGGGCCGAAAACGAGGGGGCCAACGAAAUGCACCUGCCACAUGGGGCCAAGUGAAGAACCUAGCUAAUCAGGCUGAACAACUGUUGGAAAAAACAAGACAAGAGAAAAUGGCAGAGAACUAUAUGAUGGCAUUAAUAGCCUCCUUAAAUGCCAAUUCUGUACUUUUGUUAACAAUAAUUAUUUUCAGUUUAACUACUGUCCCUACGGAAGGGGGGCCGGUAAUGACUGGGGGGGUUCGUCUUAAUAUAUGGGAGGUAUUUGCAAAGACUUUAAACCAAAGUACCUUCUGCUUAACGGAGCAGAGGGCGGUGGGGGAGGUGCUAGGAUCUUGCCUAAUACCAGUAUGCCAUAAUCCCAAAGACAUCAACAAUGAUACAUGGUUUUAUAAUUCUCUAGAACAAAAUUCUCUAGAACAAAAUUUAAUAGUCACGCGGCCCUCAUUAGUAAGGCCGAAUACGUCGCGCUGGCCGUAUCCCUGGUCGGGGUGCCCGGUCUGGUGGCACGAAACAGUAAAAACAUUAACGCCUUAGCCUGCUCGGCAGUAAAAGCCUUAAAUACAACUUCUAAAGCUCUAGCCUUGUUAAAUGAGGAACAGGGCGAAUUAAGACAUGGACUUUUGCAAAACAGAGCGGCCAUAGAUUAUCUUUUAAUGCAACAUCAUUAUGGGUGUGAAAAAUUUGAUGGUAUGUGUUGCUUUAACCUAAGCAAUAAUGAAAAAGCAGUGGACAACCAAAUUGUAAAACUACAUAAUUUAACAAAAGAAGUUACUAUGGAUGUUGAUUUUUCAGAAUUUUGGGACUGGCUUACUGGAUGGCUGCCAGACCUAUCCUGGCUAAAGCAAAUGUUUGCAUAUGUUAUUGUUAUAGCUGCAGGAUUAAUAGCUUGUUGCUGCAUAUUACAGUGUAUUCCUUCACUUAUUAGCCUAUUUGUCCAAGGCUGCCCUUGGCAACGACUUAAUACAAAACAGAGCAUUCAUUAUGCCUGCAAAUUGCUUAAAAACAAAAAGGGGGAGUUGUAGUGAACAUGCUGUGCUGGCAAACCACACCCGUGUUUAUUACAUUUACUCCUGGCUUAUCUUAAGGUAAAGCAAUGC